CUGCAACACUGCACAGAACUCUACAUAAAAUAUAGAAUACUCACAAUAAGGUGGCAGUUAUUUUUAUAACUUUAAAGUAAUCCACAGGAAAAUGUGAUACAAUCCUUUCUCACAAUUGUUGUUUAGCCUACAUCCUUGUAGCCUGCCUCCACACUCCCUUAUCUCUCCAUCAGUGACAGGCAGCGCCCCAGUUCUCUCUGUGGCCAGUGGAGGAGGAGGUCAGGUGCACGAUACCUGUUCAUCAGAGGGAUGGUCACCACAACUGAAACUCACCUGGAGAAACAAAGAGGGGACAGAGAUAAAACAAUGAACAAGUACUCUUCACCUCAGAUCCUCAGGGCUUGUUGAGUGUCAGUAGUUGGCUGCUGUAUUCUCCAUCAGACUCAGAUUGGCUCUCCUGUUCAAUCUCUCUGUCUGAGGAAGAGAAGAGAGAGAGUAGAGUCCUUCCUCACAAACCUGGACCUGAGCCCUAGGACAAUGCCUCAGGACUUCCUGGCCUGAUGACUCCUGGCUGUCCAGAGUCCACCUGGUCGUGUUGCUGCUCUAUUUCAACUGUUCUGCCUGCGGCUAUGGAACCCUGACGUGCUACCUUGUCCCUCGACCUGCUGUUUUCGACUCUCUCCCUACCACACCUUUUGUCUCAACCUCUGAAUGCUCAGCUAUGAAAGCCAACUGACAUUUACUCCUGACCUGUUGCAUCCUCGACAACCACUGUUGACCCUGCUGGUCAACUAUGAGCGUUUUAAUGUGUUGAAGAACAAUCUGGCCUUAUUGGCCAUGUACUCUUAUAAUCUCCACCCAGCACAGCCAGAAGACGACUGGCCACUCAGAGCCUGGUUCCUCUCUAGGUUUCUGCCUUUCUAGGGAGUUUUUACUAGCCACUGUGCUUCUGCAUCUGCAUUGCUUCCUGUUUGGGGUUUUAGGCUUAGUUUCUGUAAGCACUUUGUGACACCUGCUGAUGUAAAAAGGGAUGUGUAAAUACACUUGAUUUAGUUAAGCGUUGAGUUAGAUAACAUAACACCUCAAUUGUUAAUUCAAACAAUUUAAUGUAACGUAGACGCUGGGAGUCUUGAAGCAGGUGGUAAGUUUAAUAUAACAUGUACCGAUGCAACGUAGGAGUAGAGUCUAGACAACAGAAACAAUACUGCUUGGGGAAAACACCCAAGGGAGUGCCAGAUAAAGGGGAGGUAAUGAGUGAGGUAAUGGACUCCAGGUGUGCCUAAUGAUGAAUUUGUAAAUGAAAGAGGAAUUUAAUAGUACAAAUUAAAUGGAGUUUCCCAUCUCCCCAUUAAGAGUAUUUCUGGAUCAGCACAGAAAUGCCCUUAUCCAGAUGGUGUGACAAAGGCAUUUCCUAACAGACCUGCUAACAUUCUUUGUUGUUACUUGUAAGGUUAGAACCAACUUGCAGUACCUACAGCGGGCAGAGACGUGAGAAACCUUUUUUUGUCGGCCAGCUCAGGGACAAGCUACACUAUUCGCAUCCCUCAUUAACAAUCAAACUGCUGAAUGACAGGUGUUGGGCGUGGUUUUAUAGUGCACCACGGAGAAUGUGAAAGGUAAGUCCACGACCUUAAGAGGCAGGGAGUGGACAGACAGGAGAGGGAGAACUGAGUAUUUUCUUUUCUAUUAUAAUUUUGGGCUCCGAAGGAGAACUUGAAUACACCGCGGUCAUACGGUUUGCCUCAGCAUUCCAAUUACCUACAGAAGGUUUUGAUGUCACGACAGCUGGAAAAGCGAAGGAGAGGGACCAUGCACUCAGGUACAUAUCAACUUCACUCUAUGAUAAACAACUCUACUCUCUUUAAAGAAUGGGAUUCUCACUUUUCUUUUUUCUCUCCUCCCCUUGUGUCUUUUUUAAAUAUUUUUUUUUACAAAUACAUAUUUUUCUGGAUUGUCUCCUUAUUACCGCUGUGGUUUUGAUCAAGUCAUAGAGCUGGUAAUUUGAUGUAUUAUUUAUUCAUAAAACAAACGUUGUACUGUUUCUUAUACACUGUAUGGAUGGUAUCAAAUAAGCAUGGUCAGUCAAGGCAAUGGGUCUCCACAAUGGGUCCCCUUCAUGCUUAGUAGAAACUGUAGGCAGCUAACUUGUAAAUCAGUUACCCUUGGUGGUGAAAGUGAACGCACAGAUGAUGUCAUGCAAGUGGACAGGCUGUCUAUUCUCUCAUUUACGAAGUGGAACUCAAAGUAUCAUUCAAAUACAUUGUGAUAUUCGGAUUGUCUUGAAUCUACAGGAUUACCAGAAAAUCCCAGGCGUUUUGGUUUUGCAAUAACAGGAAAUCAAGGGAGAGGAACCAUGCGCUCGGGGGUAUUUAUGAGGGUGCUGAUACUGUCAGUUGUCACUGAUCCUAUCCCAGCUCAAAACCCUGAGGCCUUCACUUUGGUGGUCCCUCAUGGUCCGAUCUUGACCCGGAUAAACGACCUCCCUCUCCCUACCUUGUGAACUCUCACCUCUCUUCAGUGCAGAGCCGUUGGAGGUGCGUUGGUACCGGCCUGGUAACUUCACUGACCUGCCUUGUUAUACAAGGACCACAGCAUCCAGACAUCUAUGGACCCCCGUUACGGGAGCAGGAUGUCUCUAACUGGGGGGAUGGAGAGAGGGAACGUGUCCCUGACACUGGAGAGGGUCACACUGGAAGACAGGGGGGAGUAUGUGUGCCGUGUCAGCAGCGAACAGUGGUAUGAAAAGGCCAGUGUGUCCCUCACACUGAUUGUAUUAGGUGGUAUCCCAGUUUUGUCUCUUGCUGAAGCAAGAGGAGGAGGAGGCCAGGUACAUCACCUGUUCAACAGUGGGCUGGUCACCUCAACCUACACUCACCUGGAAAAACAAAGAAGGCGCAGAGCUCAGAAAUGUACAACAAGUACUCUACACACAUGAUCCUCAGGGCUUGGUGAGUGUCAGUAGUUGGCUGCUGUAUUCUCCCUCAGACUCCGAUUGUACAGGAGAGCCAAUCGGAGAGCCAAUCUCCCUGUCUGAGGAGGAGAGAGAGAGAGCAGAAUCCUGCCACAGAUAUGCCAGCCUGGUGAAUGAGUGUCCUACAAACAGCACAUUCAGAUCCCACUUACUUCCCAUCCCAGAAAUGAUCUGCUGUAAGGGGACUGUGAACAUGCUGAAGUCUCUAUCGUACUAUCUUUCCGCCUUAUGAGCGCUUGUGAAUUUGAUUUCCCUGUGUGCAGAAGCCUGGAGAGAAGCAUUUAUUCCAUAUUUGGUCCUGUCUCUGCUCCUCCUGUCUGCUCUCGCAUCUGUGGUCAUCAUGCUGGGCAAACAAUGAAGUAUAUACUGUAAAUUGUUACUAUCAAUAUUUAUCAAUAACUUUUUUUUUUUAUCUUAGAAAGCAUUUCAACAAUCAUUAUGUCUCUGGCAUGGCUGUCAUCACAAAAAAAAGGCAAAGGCAGCCCAGGUAAUGUACAUUGGUAUGUGAUCUGUGUGUCAUUCAAUAUAUAGAAAUAUGAUGUGUAUCUAAUGAGAUAUCAGAUAUGUUGUGUCAUCAAAUAGGAUGUGUGGUUUUUUCUCUGCAUUUCAGCAGAAGUUGAGCUCGAGCAGAGGCCAGGUAAACGUUGUCAUUCUUAAUCCAUUGUAUUUGGUUGAUAUAACAGAUACCGUUCAUGUGACUAAGUCAAAUGUUUGUGCAAAUACACACACAUCGCAAGUAAAUAUCACCUUUUUAUACUGCCUUCCACCUUCUCCAUUCAACCGAUACAAGGCACCUAAUUGAAGGUAAUCAAUGAAUGGCUAUGUAUAACAUUCCUAUGUUUGAUAACCACGCUUCAUAUCCAAAAGUCUGCCUUGAGUCACUAAUAUUCUUAUACAUUUCAGUAGAAUUACCUAAGUGUGUUCAUGGUAUUUGUGCUUGUAGAGGCAGGACACGUCGAUGAGAAACAACCUGUUGAAAAAGUUAAUAAUUGAAAGUUAAGUCAAGUUUACUUGAAUCUAAUGUUCCUGCCAAUGUGAAUCUAAAUUGUAUCUCAGUGUUUACCAUUGACUUCGUAUUUGCUUUUAUGCAGACGGGCUCCAGGUGAAAGGAUUCAAAGGUAGGAUUUUUUUAACCAGAUGUUUAUUAGAUGAUAGUUAUUAUUGUAGUAGCCUAAAUUGCGAGACUAUCCCAUGUCAACAUUGUGUCUGAGUUCAUGAAACCAUAUUCUCUUCCCUCAGAGAACAUGACCAUGGAUGUCCAGACUUCUUCCCUUGCUUUUAAAGUGAGAGAAAAGGGGGGGGGAGCUCAGUACAGCGCAGGAGAAGAGAAAGAUUACUCAAACAGGCAUCCCCAUGUGUUGGGUAAAGAGCGUUUUGACUCUGGACAGCACUACUGGGAAGUGAAGGUGGGGGGGUCAUUUUACAGAAACGAUGUCAUGGUAUAUCGGUGUGGCCGGAGAAAAUGCUGAGAGAACAUUCUGUCAUUCCUUUAACUCCUCAGUAUGGUUUCUGGAUUUUAUUUUCUGAAAAAGGAAAAGGUUUCCAUGUAAAAAAACAACUAACCCUCCAAAACAAGUAGCUGUGGCAGAAUAUCUUUCCACAGUAGGAGUGUUUCUAGACGGUGACAGACAGACUGUGGUCUUUUUAUCAUGUUGAGACACAGUCACAUCUCUACACUUUUGCUGAUGUGGUAUCAAAUGACUUUCCCCCUGUGUUCAGCCCUGGAAAAAGUGUGAAACGUGUUAUGUUGAAUAAAUACCAAGAGAGGAAGGUUAAAAUACGUCAAAUGAGGCAUACUGUACACAUACUGUGUUUUAAAUUAGGCCAACACUACAACUACGGUAUGUUUAACAUGAGGCAGAUGUAGAAAAACCAUGACUAGGGUAUCAUUUUGACUGAAAUGUUAUUCAGGGAUGCUCAGUUCAACACACAUACGAUGCAUUAGGAAAGUACUCAGACCACUUGGCUUUUUUCAUAUUUUGCUACUUUACAGCCUUAUUCUAAAAUGGAUUCAAUUGUUUCCCUGCCUCAUCAAUGUACAGACAAUGCCCCAUAAUGACGAAGCAAAAACAGGUUUUUGGACAUUUUAGCAUCAAAACAUAAUUUAAAAAAACAAAAAUAUAACUUUUACAUUUAGUAUUCAGACCCUUUACUCAGUACUUUGUUGAAGCACCUUUGGCAGCGAUUAGAGUCUUCUUGGGUAUGACGUUACAAGCUUGGGCUCCCAGUGCAAGAGGCUGCAACACAUCAGGCCGGGAUUGGGAGUCCCAUAGGUGGCAGGGCACAAUUGGCCCAGCAUCGUCCGGGUUUUGCCGGGGUAGGCUGUCAUUGUAAAUAAGAAUUUGUUCUUAAUUAACUGAUUUGCCUAGUUAAAUAAAGGUUAAAUAAAUAGAAAAGCUUGCUACACCUCUGUGGGGAGUUUCUCUCAUUCAUCUCUGCAGAUCCUCUCUGUCAGGUUGGAUGGGGAGCGUCACUGCACAGCUUUUUUCAUGUCUCUCCAGAGAUGUUCGAUCAGGUUCAAGUCCUGGCUUGGA